AUUGAACGCUGGCGGCAGUCCUAACACAUGCAAGUCGAGCGGAGCGGCUGACGGGUGAGUAAUGCCUAGGAAUCUGCCUGGUAGUGGGGGAUAACGUCCGGAAACGGGCGCUAAUAACGCAUACUCUCAGAUGAGCCUAGGGCGGAUUAGCUAGGUGGGGGGGUAAAGUCCUACCAAGGCUACGAUCCGUAACUGGUCUGCGAGGAUGAUCAGUAACACGGGAAAUGAGAGACGGUCAAGACGCAUACGGGAGGCAGCAGUGGGGAAUAUGGGGAAAUGGGCGAAAGCCUGAUCCAGCCAUGCCGCGUGUGUGAAGAAGGUCUUCGGAUUGUAAAGCACUUUAAGUUGGGAGGCGUUACCUACAGAAUAAGCACCGGCUAACUUCGUGCCAGCAGCCGCGGUAAUUC
rnacentral:rRNA from 1 species